rnacentral:lncRNA from 1 species
UGUGGUUUUAAUAGACUUUAUAUUUUAGAGCAAUUUUAGGUUUACAGCAAAAUUGAGAGGGUACAGAGAUUUCCCAUAUAGUUGUUGUCCCCACACAUGCAUAGUCUCCACCAUUUUCAACAUCUCCCACCAAAGAGGUACAUUUGCAGUAAUUGAUGAACCUACACUGACACAUCAUUAUCACUCAAAGUCCACAGUUUACAUUAGGGUUCACUCUUGGUGUUGUACAUUUUAGGGGGUUGGACAUAUGUACAAUGACAGGUAUUUAUAAUUAUAGUAUCAUACAGAGUAGUUUCGCUGCCCUAAAAAUCUUCUGUGCUCCAAUUAUUCCUCCCUCCCCUCCCCCACCCACUGCUUUUUACUGUCUCCAUAGUUUUGCCUUUUCCAGAAUACAUCCCAGUGUCAUAUAGUUGGCAUCAUUUAAUAUGAAGCCUUUUCAGACUGGCUUCAUUUAGUAGCAUUCAUUUAAGUUCCUCUGUGACUUCUUAUAGCUUGAUAACUCAUAAUUUGUCAUAGCUUGAUUUAAGCACUGAAUAAUGACUACAUGCACCACAAUUUAUUUACCCAUUUACCUACUGAAAGACAUUUUGGGUUGAGUUUUGGCAAUUAUAGAUAAAGCUGCUAUAAACAUCCAUGUGCUGGUUUUUGUGUGGACAUGUUUUCAGUUCCUUCAGGUAAAUACUAAAGAGCAAGAUUGCUGGAUCACAUGGUAAGAGCUUACCUAGUUUUUGUAAGAAACUGCUUAACUGUCUUCCAAAGUGGCUGUGCCAUCUUGCGUUCCCACCAGCAAGGAAUAAGAGUUCUGGUUGCUCCAACUUUCCCAGCAUUUCAUGCUGUCGGUGCUUUGGAUUUUGGCCAUUCUAAUAGUUGUAUAGUGGUCUGUUGUUCUAACUUGCAUUUUCCUGAUGACAUGUUAUUGAAAGAUGUGACUCUAAAGGCAAAACGAAGCCCACA